AUGGCUAUCGGGGAUUAUCCAGCGGAAUACAAUCCGAAGGUCCACGGACCCUAUGAUCCGGCCCGUUUCUACGGCAAG
rnacentral:lncRNA from 1 species